rnacentral:misc_RNA from 1 species
GAUGAAGAACGUAGCGAAAUGCGAUAAGUAAUGUGAAUUGCAGAAUUCAGUGAAUCAUCGAAUCUUUGAACGCACAUUGCGCCCGCCAGUAUUCUGGCGGGCAUGCCUGUUCGAGCGUCAUUACAACCCUCAGGCCCCCGGGCCUGGCGUUGGGGAUCGGCGGAAGCCCCCUGCGGGCACAACGCCGUCCCCCAAAUACAGUGGCGGUCCCGCCGCAGCUUCCAUUGCGUAGUAGCUAACACCUCGCAACUGGAGAGCGGCGCGGCCACGCCGUAAAACACCCAACUUCUGAAUGUUGACCUCGAAUCAGGUAGGAAUACCCGCUGAACUUAAGCAUAUCAAUUAAGCGGAGGA